UUCCUUCUGGCCAUUUGGUUCA
rnacentral:siRNA from 1 species